UACGAAGGGGGCUAGCGUUGCUCGGAAUCACUGGGCGUAAAGGGUGCGUAGGCGGGUCUUUAAGUCAGGGGUGAAAUCCUGGAGCUCAACUCCAGAACUGCCUUUGAUACUGAGGAUCUUGGGUACGGGAGAGGUGAGUGGAAUUCCGAGUGUAGAGGUGAAAUUCGUAGAUAUUCGGAAGAACACCGGCGGCGAAGGCGGCCAACUGGACGAAUACUGACGCUGAGACUCGAAAGCGUGGGGAGCAAACAGG
rnacentral:rRNA from 1 species